rnacentral:tRNA from 1 species
GAGGGUGUAGCUCAGUGAUAGUGCGAAUGCUUGUCAUGCACAAGGUCCUGGGUCCAAUCCCCAGCACCUCCA